ensembl:lncRNA
CUGCCCCAAGAACAGAGGCAGUGCAUCGUCUUGGAUUUCCUCCACGGUGCGUUUCAGAACUGUUUCUGAUCUUCUGUUUGUGUUCUGAUGGUUAAACUGAGCUGAAGUGAAUGUUUUCCUCCUGCAGGCGUCUGUCAGGAGCAGCUUGUUCUUCCUUCUGAAGAACCCACCUCCAACAGAGAACAGUUGGAGAUCCAGCUCGCCAAGGUGGUUCUGCUGCUCUGCUUCAUCGGUCUGAUUAACAAUGAGCUGGUGCCUAAACUGGAGUUCGAGACAGAGGUAAGUUUAUAUGCAGAAUAUUUCAGAUUCUUUGUUCACGCUGCAGAUUGAU